rnacentral:rRNA from 1 species
GAUGAACGCUGGCGGCGUGCCUAAUACAUGCAAGUCGAGCGAAUGGAUUAAGAGCUUGCUCUUAUGAAGUUAGCGGCGGACGGGUGAGUAACACGUGGGUAACCUGCCCAUAAGACUGGGAUAACUCCGGGAAACCGGGGCUAAUACCGGAUAACAUUUUGAACCGCAUGGUUCGAAAUUGAAAGGCGGCUUCGGCUGUCACUUAUGGAUUGACCCGCGGCGCAUUAGCUAGUUGGUGAGGUAACGGCUCACCAAGGCAACGAUGCGUAGCCGACCUGAGAGGGUGAUCGGCCACCCUGGGACUGAGACACGGCCCAGACUCCUACGGGAGGCAGCAGUAGGGAAUCUUCCGCAAUGGACGAAAGUCUGACGGAGCAACGCCGCGUGAGUGAUGAAGGCUUUCGGGUCGUAAAACUCUGUUGUUAGGGAAGAACAAGUGCUAGUUGAAUAAGCUGGCACCUUGACGGUACCUAACCAGAAAGCCACGGCUAACUACGUGCCAGCCGCCGCUGUAA